UAUGAAGGUCAAGUUCAUUUUUUUAAAUAGGAACCCCCAUUUCUCAUCGUGGAUUCAGAAAGAGCGGAAAAUUCUACAUCGGAAUAUGACCUUGACCAUGACCUUAUCGAUGUCAUAUCGAGGGAUGCACAAAAGAAUUUUGUCCCAGUUUGGCUCUGGAUACAUGGACAUUACACAAAAUUGUCAAGGAAUAACAAAGCAAAAUGCAUGGCAAAUACAUUAUAUCUAUGUACAAAUUAUCUACAUUAUAUAAGCACUUGGUAGAAUUACAUCCAGAAAAAUUAACAGAAGAAGAGAAGAAUGAAACAAAAUUCUAUUGGGUUUGGGACUAUUAUAUCGCAAGAAGCAAUACAGAAGCAAUAUGUAAACAAUGUGAAGUAACAAUUAGAUACAAGGAAGCAAUUGAUUUAGAAAAUAAUACUUAAAAGAAUAAUAAAAAGAAUAAUAAAAGAUAUAAAAAGAAAUCACUGGAUAGCAAGUCCAACUUCAGAUAACGUAAUAGAUAACGAAAGCAGUUCAGAUGAUGACAUAGAUACAAACAAGCAUGUGACUGUAAGAAAUGCAAAACGUCAAGGAGCUUCAUCUAACCUGACAAACUUAUCUGACAGUUCGAACGAAUGUGCAGGAGGAACAGAAGGAAUUAACAAGUAAUUAUAAUUCUUUCAAUUAACUAAAACUUAUAUAAAUAGUAAUUAAGAUUGAAA